AAAAUGCUGCCGAUUUGAGAUGCGAUUUGACAUAUCAAAUCGUACCAGUGUGAACCAGGCCGUCUGGAUUACUUUUUUUGGGGACUCUGGAGUGAUAUCUACGCAUAAAUUCCUAGGUGUUGGGUGUAGGUGACACUGGGAGUAUAAAUGGUGUAAGCAACCAGGUGAUUUAGCCCAUCAACCUGUUCUGGACCUAUGGCACUAGGCUCUGCAUUGUGGUGCUUUUUCAGACCAGAGUGUACUGUGUUUGUUAGCCGCAGAGUGCUUUCAAGGUCCAGAGCCAUGGCACAGUGUCACCCUGCCUUGGAAAAAAUCACUUUGUGUCUAAGGUUGUUUGAGCUAAUGCACCAGGAGCUACCUUUUUGUUUGCUUUGUUGUGCUCCAGUCAAAUUUCCCACCACCCCUGAAUUUACAGUGGAAAGGGGUUUAAGGCUGAUGGAUCGAAUGCCGAUAUCAUCCGCUAAGUGGUGCUCUGUGCUCUUUCCUGCUGUUCAGCCUGGAGGAAGCACUAUUCUCCUGCACCUGCUUAUGAAGCAUUAGGUGGAUCUCCAGUCUGUUUCCACUGCUCACCUACCUGGGCACCUGAAACUCCUCAUCUGAAUCCGCUACCAGGGUUUGUGUGUACCUGAGGCCUUGCCCCAGUUUUAGCCUAGAUGCAUUACCACUAUGCAGAAGCAUCAUGCCUUUGCUAAAACACAAAGGGGACAGUCCUGUUGGCAUGGGUGACUGCAGCAGCUCACACUCCCUUAGUGGUUCUGUGGGUAUUAAUCCAGUAUCCCCGGAAUGAACCAACACAUUUAAUCUGGAAACUGAUACCCUACUGAGGGUUUCCUUGCCUCUGAGUCCCCCUCAGCUGCUCCCCAAUACUAACAAGGGCCCACCAUAAAGAAAACGGAGUUCUGAGUGCUGCAAACAACCUUGCCCUUGUGGAGAACAAGAAACAGUUCCUUACAGGGUAAGACCACAAGUUCAGACACCCUUCCGAUUUAAGUGAUUGCCUCAAAAACGCAACCUUGGUUGACAAGAGGAAGACAUUUUUUGCUGAAUAGGCUCAAAACGUGAUUCGUUUGAAGGAAGGACACCACCAGUCCGAAGUCCCACAGAGUCAAUGGAAAGUGUCUGUGAAAAAGCACCACCAAAACAAAAACACUUAAUAGUACUCAAAACCAAGGGCAAAAUCAGGAUAGGCCCCUUUCACACUUCUGCGACUUGUCCUGCAACUUGGGACUGGACCUGUCACAGCACUUGUCAAGACUCCUGACUGUUCCCACCCCCCUGCUCCCUCCAUGGUAGCUGUACUAUCAGUUUACACAAUGAAAAAGUGUUCUGUGAAUGGAGGACAAGCGGAUGAAUGAAAGGUCUGUCUCCUCCAUCAUACAGCGCUUCUCAAUCCUAAAAGCUAUAAUACAGCUUCUAUGAAUGGAGGAGUGAACAGAAAAGGGGCGGAAAUAGUUAGGCAGGGUAUGUGGCAGGGCAGAGGUAUUAAAAUUUAACCAAGAGCAGGCACCAGCAGAAGGGAUACUACUUAUUCAGUACCAUUCUUUGCGAUUUAAAGAAAACAAACAAAAUAAACCUAUGCUUUAAACACAAAUUGCAGGUCUUGUCUCACCCCCAGCGGUUGACUGGACAGUGCAAUGGGGAAGCAGCAGACUUAUGAGCUCAUCUUUGUCACUGCAUUUUAUCUACAUGUUGCUGAUUAGCAUGAGCAUUGCAGUACAACUGACUUAUACUGCUUCUUCCUUUCCAAAUCAGGAUUCUGCUGUACAGGACUGGGGGAGACUAAAAUAGGGUACUUGUACUGCUUGUGUUAAAAAAAAAUGUUUUUAACUAUUAAUGAAUAAAUUGCUGCAAACCAACUAAGAA